rnacentral:rRNA from 1 species
GACGAACGCUGGCGGCGUGCUUAACACAUGCAAGUCGAACGGAAAGGCCCUGCUUUUGUGGGGUUCUCGAGUGGCGAACGGGUGAGUAACACGUGAGUAACCUGCCCUUGACUUUGGGAUAACUUCAGGAAACUGGGGCUAAUACCGGAUAGGAGCUCCUGCUGCAUGGUGGGGGUUGGAAAGUUUCGGCGGUUGGGGAUGGACUCGGGGCUUAUCAGCUUGUUGGGGGGGUAGUGGCUUACCAAGGCUUUGACGGGUAGCCGGCCUGGGAGGGUGACCGGCCACAUUGGGCCUGAGAUACGGCCCAGACUCCUACGGGAGGCAGCGGGGGAGAAUAUUGCACAAUGGGGGGAAGCCUGAGGCAGAAACGCCGCGUGCGGGAAGACGGCCUUCGGGUGGUAAACCGCUUUCGCCUGUGACGAAGCGUGAGUGACGGUAAUGGGUAAAGAAGCACCGGCUAACUACGU